UGGGGAAUAUUGGACAAUGGGCGCAAGCCUGAUCCAGCAAUGCCGCGUGAGUGAUGAAGGCCUUAGGGUUGUAAAGCUCUUUUACCCGGGACGAUAAUGACGGUACCGGGAGAAUAAGCCCCGGCUAACUCCGUGCCAGCAGCCGCGGUAAUACGGAGGGGGCUAGCGUUGUUCGGAAUUACUGGGCGUAAAGCGCGCGUAGGCGGUUCUUUAAGUCAGAGGUGAAAGCCCGGAGCUCAACUUCGGAAUUGCCUUUGAGACUGGGGGACUUGAAUCCGGGAGAGGUGAGUGGAAUUCCGAGUGUAGAGGUGAAAUUCGUAGAUAUUCGGAAGAACACCAGUGGCGAAGGCGGCUCACUGGACCGGUAUUGACGCUGAGGUGCGAAAGCGUGGGGAGCAAA
rnacentral:rRNA from 1 species